AAUUUGUUAAAAAUUCAGAUGUUAGUGAAUAACCAUAUCAGUUGCAUGUAUGUCUUCAUUUCUAAAUCUCCUCUGAUUUCCAAAUUCAGGGACUUUAAUAGAGCCUGUCCCUCUGUUCUUGUGGACCUAGCAUUUCCUGCAUCUCAUAUUUGUAAGGUCACUUGACAAAUAUACACACAGCUAAUCUUAUCUGAUGUUGCUGACAACAGAAAUGAUAAUUUGGGUUUGUAGCUAUGAUACAGC